GUGAGGAAUAUUGGUCAAUGGACGAGAGUCUGAACCAGCCAAGUCGCGUGAAGGAAGACGGUUCUAUGAAUUGUAAACUUCUUUUGUGCAGGAAUAAAGUGGGUUACGUGUAACCUUUUGUAUGUACUGUACGAAUAAGGAUCGGCUAACUCCGUGCCAGCAGCCGCGGUAAUACGGAGGAUCCGAGCGUUAUCCGGAUUUAUUGGGUUCAAAGGGUGCGUAGGUGGAUUGAUAAGUCAGCGGUGAAAGUUUGCAGCUUAACUGUAAAAUUGCCGUUGGAACUGUCGGUCUUGAGUGCAAAUGAGGUAGGCGGAAUGUGUUGUGUAGCGGUGAAAUGCUUAGAUAUAACACAGAACUCCGAUUGCGAAGGCAGCUUACUGGGAUGCAACUGACACUGAUGCACGAAAGCGUGGGUAUCAAACAGGAUUAGAAACCCCGGUAGUCC
rnacentral:rRNA from 1 species